rnacentral:tRNA from 1 species
GCCUUGUUGGCUAAGUGGUAUAGCGUCUCACUAGUAUCGUAGUGUCAUGAGAAGAUCGGCGGUUCGAUUCCGCCACGAGGCA